CCCUGGGCUUGCUCCAUCUUGACCCUGAGAACUUCUAAAGGGUCACUGUUAGCAGGGAUUCCUUUACCUGCGCAUUCUGCAGAAUGUUGUUGACCAAGACCACUCGUCGCCGGGCAUUAAGCAGCUUCUUGACAUAGGGAUCGAGAUCCAGGGCCACCUUCUGAUCCUCAUUGAUUCGGCACAGCUCUGGGGGAUGGAAGUAAGCUGCAAACUAACACUUAAUGGCUCCUCGUUCUUGGGGGAGGCAGGCUGGUAAGUGGGAUGAAGACGCGCCUGCGCCCACAUGGGCCGGUCACUAGAAACUUAGGGAAGCAGGAGUCACUGGCGCCCUCAUGUCCUGGAAGCACAUGACACAAACCCACCCAGAAGUGGGCUAGACUCGAGGUCCUAAAAGCGAGCUGCAGGAUCGCGGGAAUGCAGGGAUGCUUACCAGUAGCCAGGUUGUCAAUUUGCUCCCGAAGCUCUACCUGGCUCUCUCUGCAAAGAGUUACGAACCCUUGGCGGUCAGUUAAACGGGGAUUCAAAACGCCUAUUCCCCCGAAGGGCUCCUCAUACUCUGAGCCACGCCAUCCUCGGCCGGCUACCGCCCGCAAACCCCGCCCCUUCCGGGCAUGCCCCCGCCCCCUCCGGGCCUGGCCCCGCCCACAACCAAACCGAGAAGAGGCCCCGCCCCGCCCUUCCAUCUCGGACCUGACGGCGUGGACGUGAGAGUCCAGCUGCUGCACAGCAGGUCGCAGGAACUCGAGGAGCCCCUCGGCGAAGAGGUCGCGGCCUGCGGGACCCGCCACUGGGGUCCCUGCUCCGGAUACAGCGGUAGAACCAGCCCCAGCCAUCACGAGCAGCCCUUCCGCUGAGAACGUGCCGCGCGGGCCGCCGGGAACUGGAACCGAGCUGAAGCGCGCCGUCAGGGGGCGCCCGGCAGAGCUGUGGGCGGUACCCACGCCGGAGGCUUCUGGGAAACCGAGUCUCCUCCGCUGCUAGAGAGAGUUUAAAUGUGUUGUUGAAUUCUCAACAUGAGGCCCUGUCUCUUGAGCUCCAGGGUGUUCCAGCAGCUCGCAGUCCUGGGGGUCGAAGGGUGAGCAGGAGUCCUGGAGUCCAACCGGAUCCUGGUCUGCCCAGGGAACCCCUCAUGAGGCAUGUGGGGACGGCAGCCUUCCAGAAGCAGCAGAGCUUCAUCAGGACGGAUCCUGGGACCCAGAACAGCAAGGAGGGGCAGUCAGCCUGGGUACCGCUCAGGCGGUGGGGACCUCAGGGAAGAUCAGAGACUGAAGAGAGUGGGCAGUUCUUAGGACCCACAUCUCCUACAGCCUCUAUGGAAAACCCAAGAACUGUAGGGCCGCUGCUCCCGCUCUCUCUUUCAAAAUAAUAAACAUAAAUAAAUAA